GGUACGGUUGACAACCACCAUCCAGGUCAAGUAACUGGCUACAUUUUGUGUGUAACUAUUCCUAGAGCCAAACAACCUCCAUCUUGGGAAAUUCAGCUCUUCCUGCUUGCAAAAGAAUUAUCCCAGCUAGGCUUUCUGACUGUUUACAUCACCUUAUGGAGGAGUGGACAAUGCUAGAAGACCCUCUCCUGAGAGACCAGGGGCUAUAAGCAUAUGAAUGACUUCAUGGGGAGCUGCAAGAUUCAUAUGACAUCCUUACCACCCAUUGCUGAAUCACCUUUUACAAUGUCACCCAAGCUCACACAAAGCUGGAAAUAUUUGGUAUUUCUACCAACUCAUGGAAAAAUCAUCAAAUGUAUUAGAUAUUUGAAAUGCCUUUGCAGUGGAGAUGAAAUGUCUUUCUAACCAAUAAAAGGGAGUCUUAUGUUUCCCAGGA